UAUUCUCCAAGCACAAAACAAUCGAAGCAAUACAGAAACAGCAAUGGCCGAGGUGAGCUAAAGUUUCCAGUAUCGCUAAUGGUUGAAGUUCCGCGAAAGUGACUAUGAGGCAGCUUCCUUGCUGCAUAUCUCACGAGUUUCAGAGAGUUGCAUUGUCUCAUCCUGAAAAAAUCGCAGUAAUUCAUGCCUCCGGUGGAAUCCAGCUUUGCCGCCAGUUACAUGGCGGCGGCGGAGGAGAUGAGAACUUCUUCACGGAGCGGGCUAUAUCCGCUUUCCCUUCCAUGUACGAUGGCGACCAGUGCUUCACUUACUCGCAGCUGUUGGCCUCCGUUGAUUCUCUCAGUUCCCGCCUUCCUGCAAUCCUUCGCGAUCCUCGAUUAAUCGCGCCCACUGCUCCUCACCGAGCUAAUGAUCAGCUGGUAAAGACUGGCCCAGUGGCUAAUGAAUUAUCUGAAGCAUCAGUUGAGCUUGACAGCAGUAAUAUACCGAAAAUAUUUGGAAUAUAUAUGCCACCUUCAGUUGAAUAUAUAGUUGCUGUUCUUUCUGUACUAAGAUGCGGAGGGGCUUUCAUGCCGUUAGAUCCUGCAUGGCCUAAAAAGAGGAUUCUGUCAGUUGUUUCUACGUCGAAAAUUGAUCUUAUUAUCUACUCUGGAUCUUCAUUUUGUGAAGAUGGCUAUCACUUGACUGAUGGGUUUCGUUGGCUCAAGCAAAUCAGUGGCUGCUCGACUUUUAGUUUUACUAUGGAAGAAAAUUCUAUUCGAGAGCAUAAUAGUGCGGUUGAUUUAGUUUUUCCCUGUGAGCGUGAGAAGGGGAGGUUGUUUUGUUACAUUAUGUAUACAUCUGGAUCUACUGGAAAGCCUAAAGGAAUAUGUGGCACCGAACAAGGUCUUCUAAAUCGCUUUCAAUGGAUGCAAGAAUUAUUUCCUUCUAGUGGAGAGGAACUUUUAUUGUUCAAGACAUCUAUUAGCUUUAUUGACCACAUUCAAGAAUUUCUUAGUGCCAUAUUAACAUCUUCUGCCUUGGUUAUACCUCCGAUGAAAGAGUUGAAAGAAAAAUUAUAUUCUGUUGUCAAUUUUAUUCAGGCAUAUUCCAUCAGUAAGCUUACUGCUGUUCCAUCACUAAUGAGGGCGCUCCUUCCUGCAUUGCAAAGACUGUGUGUGAUGCAGAACAGAUGUUCCCUAAGAUUGUUAAUUCUGAGUGGUGAAAUUCUGCCAAUACAGUUAUGGAAUGCGCUUGUCAAGUUAUUACCAGAGACCACAGUUUUGAAUUUGUAUGGCAGUACAGAGGUAUCUGGUGAUUGUACAUAUUUUGAUUGCAAGAGAAUGCCAAUGAUUUUGGGGACAGAAGAAAUCAAUACUGUUCCAAUUGGUGUGCCGAUUUCUCACUGUGAUGUUGUGGUUGUUGGUGACAAUGAUGCACUGAACCAGGGAGAACUGUGGGUUGGUGGCCCCUGUGUAUGUAGUGGAUAUUAUUCAGAUUCUGCUUUUCACCCUUUGGAUGAUAAAAUUUUUUCUCAAGACUUUGUUCAUGGAGGUUCACUCAAUGCAAAUUGUGAUCAAAUUUAUAUCAGGAUAAGUGAUUUUGUCCGACAGCUUCAAAGUGGUGAUUUGGUGUUCUUGGGGAGAAAAGAUCGCAGUAUCAAAGUUAAUGGGCAACGUAUUGCUUUAGAAGAGAUUGAGGAUGCUUUAAGGGAACAUCCAGAUGUAGUAGAUGCAGCUGUAGUUUCCAGGAGAAGUGAUAGGGAACUUGAAUAUCUAGUGGCAUUUCUAGUUUUGAAAGAUAACAAGAAGAGUGAUGUAUUCAGGUCCACUAUUAGAAGUUGGAUGGUGGAAAAAGUUUUAUUGGCUAUGAUUCCAAACAGCUUUUUCUUCAUUGACUCAAUCCCUAUGUCAUCCAGUGGAAAAGUUGAUUAUGAGAUCUUGACGCGUUCAAGACCUCUUUGGGAGCACGAACAUGAAACUAUUGAUGAAACAUGGGCAAAUGACUACAUGCAAGUCAUAAAAAAGGCUUUCUCUGAUGCUUUAAUGAUUAAAGAGAUCUCUAGUGAUGAUGACUUCUUUACGAUGGGUGGUAACUCUAUAGCUGCAGCGCAUGUUUCAUAUAGAUUAGGGGUUGAUAUGAGAUGGCUGUAUCACUAUCCAAGCCCAGCUAAGCUUCUUACGGCCCUUCUAGAGAAGAAAGAGUCAGAUAUAGAUAUCAGUAGGGAUGCUGACUCAAGAAAGAACCUGAAAAUUGACAGGUGGAACAAGUUUUCUUUCGAUGAUUCUGAGUUUCUGACCCAUUUUGAUAUUAAUGAGGGUCAGAACUCUGGAAAAAGGAAACAAGUUCAUCCAAAUGAUGGUUUUUCGAGGGUAGCCAUACCAAGGAAUAACAAUUCUUCAAUCUCGAAACACAAUAAGGAGGUUUCUGAUUUUUCAAUCAAUUUGGAAGAUAUAGGCCAAGUUGGUGGGCACCUGUGGGAUUCUCUUUUGACGUCUGUGUCAUGUGCAUUCAGUCGAUACAACAAGGUUGUGUAUGAACACAAGGACAUUGGUAACAGUGAAUGUGUAGAAACUUUGUUAGUUAAGUCCCCAAGAGGUGAAAAUGGUUCUAUGAAAAAACUAUGGCAAGUUCAUAUGGAGUCUUGCGUGGAUGCUUCACCACUUGUUGUGUUUAAACACCCCAAAAUCUACUUGUUUAUUGGUUCUCACUCACAGAAGUUUGUCUGCGUGGAUGCAAAAAAUGCUUCUCUUCAAUGGGAGAUAAGGCUAGAAGGACGAAUUGAAUGUUCCACGGCAAUUGUUGGGGACUUUUCUCAGGUUGUAGUAGGAUGCUACAAAGGGAAGAUAUAUUUUCUCGAGUUUUCCACUGGUAAUAUCCAAUGGACGUUCCAAACGUGUGGUGAGGUAAAAUCGCAGCCAGUGGUUGAUUCAGAGAGAAAUUUAAUCUGGUGUGGAUCAUAUGACCGUAACUUAUAUGCAUUUGACUACGUGAGGCAUUCUUGUGUUUAUAAACUUCCAUGUGGAGGAAGUAUAUAUGGAUCACCUGCAAUUGAUGGGGUGCAACAUAGACUUUAUGUGGCUUCAACAAGUGGACGGACGAGUGCUCUAUUGAUAAAGGCUUUUCCUUUCAGUACUUUGUGGCACUAUGAUCUAGAAGCGCCAGUCUUUGGGUCCCUUGCAAUUGAUCCACUUUCUAGAAAUGUUAUUUGUUGCCUGGUGAAUGGUCACGUUGUUGCACUGGAUUCAAACGGAUCUGUUUCAUGGAAGUGUAAAACUGGUGGUCCGAUAUUUGCUGGAGCCUGUAUAUCCUCCGUUGUCCCUUCACAGGUGCUCAUAUGUUCCAGAAAUGGAAGCAUUUAUUCUUUUGAACUGAAAAGUGGAGAUUUAGUGUGGGAGUACAACAUUGGUAAUCCGAUAACUGCAUCUGCUUGUGUUGAUGAACAGCUGCAACUUGUGCCUGAAACUUCCACCUCCUCUGACAGGCUGAUUUGUGUUUGCUCCAGUUCUGGAGCCAUACAUUUGCUUCGAGUAAAGUUGAAUACAACACAGGAGGGAUAUUCUCAGAACACAAAUGUAGAAGAAUUUGCAAGGGUGGAUCUUGAAGGAGACAUAUUUUCUUCACCUGUUAUGAUAGGUGGACGCAUUUUCGUCGGUUGCCGAGAUGAUUAUGUGCACUGUGUUGUGGUUGGUAACCUUAAUACCAAAAUAAAUAGUAAUACACACUGUAACUAAAAUUUUGCCACUUAUCUAUAGAGGUUCUAAGUAUUUUUGUCGUUUCUCUCUCAUGCAUCCAGUGAUUUAAAACUGCUAAUUUCGAUGGGGCAGAAUUCUACAAAUAUAAAUUUGUAGGUAGGUUUAAAUUGUGUCCCGAGACUUAAAAAGGUUUUAUUGUUAUUAUUAAACUUUGAAAAUUCUCAUGAAAA